GGUUUCAUGGUGUAGUUGGUUAUCACGCGACCUUAACAAUCUCAAAUCUUGAGAUUUGAUCGGUCGAGGUCUUGAGUUCGAUCCUCAAUGAAAUCA